GAAGAAAUCAUAGGUAAAACACUGCUAAGCCUGCUGCCCGAGUCAGAGAAAAGCAGAGUUUAUCAAAAGGUUGCGCUCAAGAUUCCUUUUUCAAGUUCAGUGGGGAAACACAUUAAAUUUGGAUGCCACUUAAGAAGAGGAAAUGUUGAUUUUGGUUUCAACCCAGUUUAUGAAUAUGCGAAAGUCAUCCUGAACGUAAUAGAUAUCUCAGAGGAACCUUUGAUCCUCUUCACACAACUUUUCAUAAGACAACCUUUCAAGAUUCCUAUACCUGUGGAUGAGAGAUUUUAUCUUGUGGGACUUGUGUGUGUG